UCCAAUGGCAAUACUACCCUGAGCAAGCCCAAUCUCAUCUGAUCUCAGAAGCUAAGUAGAGUUGGGCCUGGUUCGUACUUGGAUGAGAGACCACCUUGGAAGACGAGGUGCUGUAGGCG
rnacentral:rRNA from 1 species